UACUCGAGUGGCGAACGGGUGAGUAACACGUUGGUGAUCUGCCCUGCACUUCGGGAUAAGCCUGGGAAACUGGGUCUAAUACCGGAUAGGAGCCAUUUUUAGUGUGAUGGUUGGAAAGUUUUUUCGGUGUAGGAUGAGCUCGCGGCCUAUCAGCUUGUUGGUGGGGUAAUGGCCUACCAAGGCGACGACGGGUAGCCGGCCUGAGAGGGUGGACGGCCACAUUGGGACUGAGACACGGCCCAG
rnacentral:rRNA from 1 species